rnacentral:rRNA from 1 species
GUGAGGUAACCUUUGGAGCCAGCCGCCGAAGGUGGGACAGAUGAUUGGGGUGAAGUCGUAACAAGGUAGCCGUAGGUGAACCUGCGGCUGGAUCACCUCCUUUCUAAGGA